rnacentral:misc_RNA from 2 species
GACACCCGCAACCAUGUUGCGUUUCCUCCCUUAUUAAACUUCAACAUCCCCGCACCGCAUGUCGGUUGCGGGGAUUUUUUUGUCCGCA